rnacentral:rRNA from 1 species
AUUAAACGCUGGCGGCAUGCCUUACACAUGCAAGUCGAACGGUAGCGCGGGGCAACCUGGCGACGAGUGGCGAACGGGUGAGUAAAGCAUCGGAACGUGCCCUGGAAUGGGGGAUAACGUAGCGAAAGUUACGCUAAUACCGCAUAUUCUGUGAGCAGGAAAGCAGGGGAUCGCAAGACCUUGCGUUCUGGGAGCGGCCGAUGUCGGAUUAGCUAGUUGGUGGGGUAAAAGCCUACCAAGGCGACGAUCCGUAGCGGGUCUGAGAGGAUGAUCCGCCACACUGGGACUGAGACACGGCCCAGACUCCUACGGGAGGCAGCAGUGGGGAAUUUUGGACAAUGGGCGGAAGCCUGAUCCAGCCAUGCCGCGUGAGUGAAGAAGGCCUGGUGUAAG